GAUGGCAGGGGUGUGGCUUAUUAAGUCCUGUUUAUGUAGGUUAUAAAAUUACCGUGCGGGUUGUAUGGAAGUGCGUCAUUCUGAUCAUCAUCUUUUCCGCCACUCCAUUUCUGGCGUGGUGUGUGAGUGCCUGGAAGAUUUUUGGAUGAUUUUGUCUACUAUUUUCUACAUGUGCUACAGAAAGAGGCUGGUUUAACCAGCUGUGGCUUGUCAUUGGACCGUUAGACACUAUCACCUGGCUGGGUUGGUACUUCGGCUCUCCGCAAGAAUUGGGCAACCGGAGUCAGGGAGCUCAGCGCUUUCUCCUUUCCCUCUGGUGGUGGUAUCCUUCACUAACUGCUGUGCUCGAUUUUGGGGUGCUGUGUGUCAGCUGUAUGUUCACAGGUGGUUGCAGUGUCCUUUUGAGUAGGAGAUUAAAGGUGACCCUUGUCCUGGGUGAUCAUGAGUGCUGACUUAAUUCUGGUGUGGUGUUGUAUGUGGGGGGUUUUUUGUGCUUUUUUGUUUUCAUUGUCUUCUGUGUGUAGCGAGAACUGGAGAUGCUGACGGUUUUUAUCUGGCUUCUUAAAUAAAAAUGUUUUGUACUCUACUCAUGUCUCAUACCUAUUGCUAACUGUAAGGCCCCAUUAGCAGGCCCCCAGGGUGGCAUAGUCGACAUAUUGAGGUGUGUGUUCCUUAUUUUUUGGUUAUUUUCAUUUCUGUUAUUUUUCUGGUCCUCUUUGUUUAUACCCUCAUGCUGCCACAUCUGACAUAGUCGGCUGGAUCUCAGUUGCUGUAAAAGUUUGAGACAAUAGUGAGAAAUAUUUUUUGUAUAUUGUUUAUGGUUUGUUUUUUUCGUUCUUCUUUUUUCUUUAUAGCAGAGUGGUGGUGACUGUUCAGCAGAGGUGUUGUUUUUCUUCCUGGUAAGCAUACUCUGCAAUGGUUAAACUAUGGAGGAGGAAUUGCAAGAAAUUAGGGAUUUAGCGGCCCAAUUAAGGGCAGAUAAUGAGCGACUACGCCUAGAGUGGGUGCCAAUUGAGUUGCUCAAUCCUGGCACAGCCUCUCUUAGUGUGGCGUCACUGGUUAUGCCCCAGUUGGUUGGUAUGAGUGUCGGGGUGGCAAAGCGAUUUGUGUUUAUACCAAGAGACAGGUGCUGUCCUAAAUUUCAUGGUAGGGCCUGUAUCUGUAUUAACGAGUGGGUUGAAGAAGCCCAGGUGUGUAUGCGUGUGCAUAAUAUGUCUCUUGCUGAUCAAGCCUUCUUCUUAUUUGAUCAUCUAGAAGGAGAGGCCUGUAAUGAGAUAAAUAUCGGCCAGAGGUUGAAAAGAGCGAUCUAGAUAAGAUUGCUUGAGCGCUGCGUGAGUUGUGUAUGUGAUCUGAGUCGUAUGUUGCACUGCAAGAAGCGUUUUUCCCUCUGUAAUCGCUGGUUUUCUACAUUAGCGCUGGUCAGUCUGUAUAACCAAGUCCCUGUCUCUGAAGUUGACUGGCCUAAGACCGCUUUUUGUGCGACGUUUGGACUACUUGAAUGGACUCGGAUGCCUUUCGGUCUAUAUAACGUCCCAAUUACAUUCGAACGUUUGAUGGAAUGGCUUUUUGGAGACCAGAGGCAUCAAUCUGUUUUAUUAUGUCUUGGUGAUAUUAUUGUGUUUUCCUCAUCUGUGCAGCAACAUCUGCAGAGAUUGCGGGUGGUGUUGGGUCGCUUGAGAGCCGAGGGCCUUAAAGCUAGAGAAAUGUGUGUUUUUUAGGGUAGAGGUAAGGUACCUGGGGCAUGUUAUCUCUGCACAGGGGGUAGCAACAGACCCCAGUAAGAUGGAGGCAGUGGCUCAAUGGCCUCGCCCUACAACGGUGUCUGAAUUGCGGACCUUUUUGGAUUUUGUCAGCUAUUAUAGGUGUUUUGUGGAAGGGUUCACCAAGUUGGCUGCCCUGCUACACAAAGUAGUGGCUGAAUUAACUGGAGAUAGGUCCAGUAAGUGUCAUCAGGAUUUGACUACUGUUCAGUCGGAACAGUUUGAAGAAGCCUUCCAAGCACUCAAACACAAACUCAACACUGUACCCAUUCUGGCAUAUGCAGAUUUUGUGUGCCGCUUUAUUUUUUAGGUUGAUCUACACAGGAUUAGGGGCAGUGCUUUCACAAGAGUUUGAUGGACCUGUUUACGCUAGUCAUAGCCUUAGAAGAACUGUGACUGUAAUAAAACUUACAGCUGAUUUCCUUAUAAAACUGCACUAAUUGUACCUGAGACUACUAAUAAAUUUUUUAAGCAAAUGGCUGACACACCAAAUAUUGACUUUGUUUAAUUUAUGUCUGUUUACUGCUCUUUAUAGUUGUUUUUUUGUUGUUGUUUUUUUUAAAUGUAGAAACAUUUAAUUUCAUUAAGUUUGAAGGCAUCUUUGCUCUACAGCAUUUCUUUGCAUGUGCCUAUUAAGACUUUUUGUCAUGUAUCAGGAAACUCUGGACUCCAGUUCCCAUCAGCCACUGCACUCCACUACAUGUCACAUGACCACCUACACCUGAUUCAUGUUUCUGUUAAUGAGCACUCUUGUAUCUAUAGCCAUUGUCUGCACUGUUUCUGUCUUUCAUUGUCUUAGACUACGAUGUUCCGUGUUUCCAUGUUUUGUUUCAUGCCACAGUAUUUUGCCUAGUUGUCUUAGUGUCUAUAUUUUGUUGUUUGUUUAUAUAAUAAAUGUUAUAUAUCUGCGAUUGCUUUCGAACCCAUCCUUGAUUCAUGACACUUUUGCACAGUACUAAUAUUCUGUACCGGGUCUCUCUCUCUCUUUCUCUCUCUCUUCCAGGAAGAUGGAUUAUUAACACCUACUAUGUGUAUAACACAACGGGACAUGAGUGUGUUUUUUUUUUACUACAAGACUGUGUGUGUUUUACUCUUCCUCCAUAUCAGCACCGGAAAGUGUGUCAUUUGACUUUGAAUGACCCCAUGUUUUUCAGGAUGGCACCUUCAACCCCAAACAUAUACAGCCACUCCUUUAAUUUCCUGCUUCAUUAUUUUAUUGCCCUACUGUUCCAUAGAAAAUAACCUCAUAAACCUACCUCACACAUAAGAUAUUGCUGGAGUGCAUGAACACAAUCUUUAAAUUGCAAUGGUUAAGGCCUGAUUGAAAUACUCCACAAGUAUACCCGUAUCAUUAACAGAAAUCAUAUGGAUAUACCACCAAUACUGUUUUGGUAGAUUCUGUAGAAAAACCCACUGUGAAGCAACAAGGGGCCGCUAAUCACUCAUUUAGUGAAUACUCAUAUGUGUAUGCUAACGUUGCAGUUUUUACUCGUAUACACAAUACAAUGUUUACAUGGUCAUCUGCUGUCUGUUCACAGUUGCUGUCACCGCCAGCCAUCCCAGCAUUGCCUCUCUUGUAGGGUCAAAAAUCAUUCACUGCAACACUGCUCAUUCUCUGCAAUCCCCCAAAUAACACCAGGGUGUCAUAAUGGUAUGGAAACCUGAUAGUUGAGAAUACACUGAACACUGAAGGGAGUAUCAGUCUUCCACCUACAGAGAGAAUCAACAAACCCAUGGGUUAAAGAUCAAUAGAGACUUUUAAUGCAUCCAGUUUGGUUGGAGUAAGACCAGCAGUGUUUCUGGUCUUUCAUAGACAAGGUGUAACCCAGCCAUGCAAUUAUAGAAUUACUUUGGAAAUUAUUUAAUUUGACAUGUAGGGCAAUUAUUAUAAUUACUUUAUUAUUAUUCUUUCUUAUUGUAUUUUGUUUUUGUAUUUUUCGUUAUUAUAGUCUUGACACCGUUGAUUGAGAUUUGAGCCAAUAGGAAGGCAAGGGGGAGCGGAAGUCCCGCCUCCAUGUAAUAUUUCUUUCGGCAGAUGCCUGCUUUUUAUUUCUUUUUUCAAUUGAGCCACGUAGCUGUCGCAACGUUGGAGAACUAUAUAUUUCUUAUAUAUCAAACUGAAACUUUGCGUAGAACUUUCCCAGUAUAUACUGCUGCAUAAUCAUUUUAUUUUGUGUAGCAAGAACGGAUUUUGGUGAGUUGUCUAUUUUGAGGUUUUUUUUUUAGAACUUGUAAUGUAGUAAGUUCAGCUAGCUAGCAUAGUUUCUACAUAGCAUUGCUGUUGCAGAUAAUUGAUAUGUUUACCUGUCCUAGAAAUAUUGAUAGCAUAGAAAUUACUUUUGUAUAUUAUCUACCUUAAUUCAUAUUUGAAGAGAGACAUGUUUUGUAAAGGAAGACACGAUCCAGUCAAAGUGGCUGGCUGCCUCGUGACAUUUUAGUUAAUUGAAUCUUGGAAUGGCGGCACUCAUGUGCUAAGAAAGAACACAAAGAGAUAUGCGCCAUUUUAUUUUCCUACUUUAUUGUGAAGGAUGUUUGCAACACAUUAUACUAAGAAUUGUAUGGUAUUUUAUGUUGUUCAAGGUAAUGCAAUUAAUACCCAUUGCAGUUCUUUAUACUUCAUGGUUAUUACUCAGAUUAUGAGUAAAUGUAUUUGUGAAAUUGAAAUGGUUAUUAUACAGUUGUACAACAUUUAGAAAUAUAGUCUUUACAACAUGAUUAGGCUUAAUGAUUAAGAAUCUAUUUUUUGUGAAUUAUCCUAUGUUGAUGUUGUUUUUAGUUCUUUAAGAAGAACAGUGUAAUGACCAGUAUAGUGUUGAGGUUAAUAGAAUGUAAGCAAUGUCCUUUUUCUUUUAAUAAGUGAACAGGCCAGGUUUUUUGUGUGGAUGAACAGUCUACUGCAGAGGAUUGAAACCAGACAGAAGAAACACCGAGCUCAUAGAACCCCUAUUCCUUGAAUCACUUGAUCAAGAUUUCUCUAAUCAGGGAAUAGCGACCCACCCAAACAAUUGCAUGCAGAAGAUUUGAACAUCUCCCUCAGAAUACCCGCCUAUGCGGCAGGACUGAUACAACUUGUGGGUAGGAUUUGAACAGAAAGAACCCUUUUGUAAGAAAACCAGAAAACUGUAAAUCCAUUUAUUUCAUUUAAUUCAUUUCCAUUUUAUUGUGACUCUGUAUUUUACUUUAAUUAAUAGUUCAUAAGUAAAGCCGGCAACUUAACUGUACUUACCUUGUCCACUGGUUUCAAUCCAUUUAGUUAGUUAUCAAUACACCUCCCUCC
ensembl:lncRNA